rnacentral:tRNA from 1 species
AGGACUGCUCAGCUGGUAGAGCAUCUGCCCGGUAUGCGGAGGGUCGCCGGUUCGAUUCCGGCUUUCUU